AGAAUGUGCAUGGCAGAUUCAAUGCAAUUCUGUGUCUACCAGACAUCGAACAACACAGGAGAGAGGUGUGUUGCAGACUCAAUUUAAUAAAUGCAAUUAUCGGGGCCUAUUCAGUGAUUUUCCAUGAAGUGACCACUUUUACAUAUAGUUUAAAUGCACGAAUCAUGCAGGAAAAUUAUUUAUACAUUCAAAUGUGCUGCAGAGGUAUAAUCAAUUGGACAGCGUGUUUGUUUAAUAUUAUGUUUGUCUCUCAUUUGAUCAGAUUGCUUUACCCUGAGGUAAACGUCAUAAAAUGGGUCCAGUGCAAGACGUGCAGGGGCUGGCUGCAUCAGGAUUGUGCUGGGAUUGAAAUGGAGCCGUUUGACUGCGGGUGCGAGGACUCCAUUGAGCAUCCUCGGUGGAAAGAUCCGCUCCAACAGAAUGUUCCUUUGGAGGAAUCCCGCCACCUCACUCCGACUAAAGCAGCAUCUUAAGAUAAGGACACUAAGUUGGAGUGAGCAGCGCGUAAGUAAAAAUGCCAUCCAUCAUGAGUAUUUUUACUCUCAGGGGUGUUACAUUUGAAAGGUGUUUACUUUCUGUGUUUUUCUUCAAUAGAUGUUCGAGCUCCUGCGGUUCAUUGAGGUGGCAACAAACAUUUCUAAAAAAAUAAAGAGAGGCGAGAUUUAUCUGCUUGAUUUCGUUUUUGACGUCAUGCUCCCAGAG